GAUGAACGCUGGCGGCGUGCCUAAUACAUGCAAGUCGAGCGAACAGACGAGGAGCUUGCUCCUCUGACGUUAGCGGCGGACGGGUGAGUAACACGUGGAUAACCUACCUAUAAGACUGGGAUAACUUCGGGAAACCGGAGCUAAUACCGGAUAAUAUAUUGAACCGCAUGGUUCAAUAGUGAAAGACGGUUUUGCUGUCACUUAUAGAUGGAUCCGCGCCGCAUUAGCUAGUUGGUAAGGUAACGGCUUACCAAGGCAACGAUGCGUAGCCGACCUGAGAGAGUGAUCGGCCACACUGGAAGUGAGACAGGGUCCAGACUCCUAAGGGAGGCAGCAGUAGGGAAUCUUCCGCAAUGGUCGAAAGCCUGACGGAGCAACGCCGCGUGAGUGAUGAAGGUCUUCGGAUCGUAAAACUCUGUUAUUAGGGAAGAACAAAUGUGUAAGUAAAUAUGCACGUCUUGACGGUACCUAAUCAGAAAGCCACGGCUAACUACGUG
rnacentral:rRNA from 1 species